rnacentral:rRNA from 1 species
UUUAGUCCUAACUCGAGUAACAUGGGGCACGUGAAACCCUGUGUGAAUCUGCGAGGACCACCUCGUAAGGCUAAAUACUCCUGGGUGACCGAUAGUGAAGUAGUACCGUGAGGGAAAGGUGAAAAGAACCCCAACCGGGGAGUGAAAAAGAACAUGAAACCGUAAGCCUACAAGCAGUGGGAGGAGAAUAGAAUCUAUGACCGCGUGUCUGUUGAAGAAUGAGCCGGCGACUUAUAGGCAGUGGCCAGGUUAAGGGCACCACCGGAGCCGCAGCGAAAGCGAGUCUAAAUAGGGCGCAUGUCACUGUUUAUGGACCCGAACCCGGGUGAUCUAUCCAUGGCCAGGAUGAAGCUUAGGUGAAACUACGUGGAGGUCCGAACCGACUGAUGUUGAAAAAUCAGCGGAUGAGCUGUGGAU